AUUGAACGCUGGCGGCAGGCCUAACACAUGCAAGUCGAGCGGAGCGGCGGACGGGUGAGUAAUGCCAAGGAAUCUGCCUGGUAGUGGGAGAUAACGUCAGGAAACGGGCGCUGAUACCGCAUCCUAUCAGAUGAGCCUAGGUCGGAUUAGGUAGUUGGUGGGGUAAAGGCCUACCAAGGCGACGAUCCGUAACUGGUCUGGGAGGAUGAUCAGUCAAACUGGAACUGAGACACGGUCCAGACUCCUACGGUAGGCAGCAGUGGGGAAUAUUGGACAAUGGGCGAAAGCCUGAUCCAGCCAUGCCGCGUGUGUGAAGAAGGUCUUCGGAUUGUAAAGUACUUUAAGUUGGGAGGCGUUACCAACAGAAUAAGCACCGGCUAACUUCGUGCCAGCCGCCGCGGUAAUAC
rnacentral:rRNA from 1 species